UUUCUUUAAUGACCUAAUAAUUAUUAUCUCAAGCUGUGUGAUGUUUGCUUUUUUUUCAUGUUUUUCUUUCCUCAUCCAAUCCUUUCAGUUGCAAGUAUGAAGUGGUGUCUGUGAUGCUGUCCAAGGGUUCUGUUCAGUUGGAUAUUCAAAACAAUCAGAAAAGGACACCAUUGCUUGAAGCCGUUUCCCAGGGUCACCUCGGAAUGACACACAAGCUAAUAGCUCUGGGUGCAAAUGUAAAUGCUGUUGAUGGUGAAGGUAACAGCUGUUUGCACCUGGCCGUGGAAAGAAAAAAGUUUAAUUCCGAGGAUGCACCCUUGGAUUUAUUAAACGAAUGCUGCACUUCCCUUAACCUGAAAGAGGAUGAAAUGCUCUCUGGUGUAGUGGUAGGUAGAUAUCUCGCCAGCCAGGGAGCGGACUUUCACCAUAAAAACAACAAAUAUAACACACCAUUGGACCUCAUUAAGGACCCAAAUUUGAGAAGAAAAUUAGAAGCAUUUUUACCACCACAAUGUUUGUGGUGCAGAAAUAAAGCGGCCACAACAAAAGUCCAUCCAUGUGGACACCUUGUAAUAUGUAAGGGAUGUUCAAACGUUACACUUCAACGAUGUCUGAAGUGCGGGAAACCUGUAACGAGCAGAACUGGAGAUGAGGCUCCAAAGUUUGAAGACAGGUGUGUACAAACAGAGGCUACAUGUCAGGAAUUAGGGGCUGCAUCUCAGGCAAUAGGGGCUCCAAAGUGUGAGGACAGGUGUGUACAAACAGAGGCUACAUGUCAGGAAUUAGGGGCUGCAUCUCAGGCAAUAGGGGCUCCAAAGUCUGAAGACAGGUGUGUAAAAAAGAGCUACAUGUCAGGAUUAGGGGCUGCAUCUCAGGCAAUUGGGAGUCCAGUUCUGAAGGAGAGGGAUCUUCUGAGAGUGGCUAAGAGGUUAGGACGUGAUUGGUGGCAAGUGGGUGAGUAUAUUUGAUUUCUAUAUAUUUUACUUUCACCUGAUCUAUUUUAUUUGUCAGAAUGAAUGAGAACAAGUUACAUUCCUCAUUUCCAAUUGAUAGGUUACCUGUAUGACAAUUUUAUUUACGAUAUUCCUGAUAUUUCAUAAAAUAUCCACUGAGGUUAGCAUGGUUGGUAAUAAUGGAUAAACUAGAAAACACAAAUGGCGUUUAAUAUUAUCUUUUGGAAGAAGGAACUAAAAUAUAUUGUUUAAGGGUAAACAGUUAUUGUUUUAGAAGUUGAUACAACUAAACUGAAAAUUGAUGAUGAGUCUAAUGUCACUGUAAAACAAGGCCACCAGAUUCUUUACGAAUGGUUCAAAAAUUGCGACCCAGAAACACGGACACACGCAAC
rnacentral:misc_RNA from 1 species